UACGUAGGGUGCAAGCGUUAAUCGGAAUUACUGGGCGUAAAGCGUGCGCAGGCGGUUAUGUAAGACAGAUGUGAAAUCCCCGGGCUCAACCUGGGAACUGCAUUUGUGACUGCAUAGCGUAGAGGUACGGUAGAGGGGGAUGGAAAUUCCGGCGUGUAGCAGUGAAAUGCGUAGAUAUGCGGAGGAACACCGAUGGCGAAGGCAAUCCCCUGGACCUGUACGUGACGC
rnacentral:rRNA from 1 species